AGGGAGGGGGAGAGGCUGCUCAGCGAUUGGGGGAGGGGGAGUGGGGCGACGACCAGAAUGAGCUAGAGGGUCUGGGUGGUGCGGCUGGGGAUGGGACAAAUGGCCAGGGAAUGGUGGCGUUGGGAAAGAUCUUGUUGGGACAUGGUCGUGUGGAGAGAGAGAGAGAGAGAGAGAGAGAGAGAGAGAGAGAGAGCUCAGGGGUGGGGAGGAUUCGUGUUCAUGAGGUGGGUGUGGCUAGGGGAGUUGGGCUUGGGGCCUUUGGGUCUGGCUACGGAAAGUAGCUGGGAGAAAGAGAGAAGCUGAGAAAAGGGUGGUGGGGGUGACGGCUAGACUGGAU
rnacentral:lncRNA from 1 species